GCAAGGAAUGUGGGAAGAGCUUCGAAGAACUCAAUAAGAGACUCAUUUCGGCACAUGUUCUGACCAUACCAUCCUAGAAAAGCGAACGUGGUAGCUGACGUGUUGAGUAAAAGAUCGUAUACGAGUACGAAUGCGAUAUUGUCAAAGACCCAUUUCAUAUAACUUACAAAUGAUAGAUAUAUAGUUAAAGACUCUAGGGACUCACGUG
rnacentral:lncRNA from 1 species